GACGAACGCUGGCGGCGUGCUUAACACAUGCAAGUCGAACGGAAGGACCCUGCGUUUGUGGGGUUCUCGAUUGGCGAAGGCGGGAGUAACACGUGAGUAACCUGCCCUUGACUUUGGGAUAACUUCAGGAAACUGGGGCUAAUACCGGAUAGGAUAUCCUGCUGCAUGGUGGGGGUUGGAAAGUUUCGGCGGUUGGGGAUGGACUGGCGGCUUAUGAGCUUGUUGGUGGGGUAGUUGCUUACCAAGCCUUUGACGGGUAGCCGGCCUGAGAGGGUGACCGGCCACCUUGGGACUGAGAUACGGACCAGACGGCUAAGGGAGGCAGCAGUGGGGAAUAUUGCACAAUGGGCGCAAGCCUGAUGCAGCAACGCCGCGUGCGGGAUGACGGCUUUCGGGUUAUAAACAGCUUUCGACUGUGACGAAGCGUGAGUGACGGUAACGGGUAAAGAAGCAACGGCUAACUACGUG
rnacentral:rRNA from 1 species